AGAAAGGUUAAUUUGUUUUUUAUUUGAAAACCUAUAUUUUCACAAUCUAUGCGGCCAAGAAAUAAAUAAAUAAGAAAGUUAUGUGAGCUUUAAAAAUGUCAUUUGCUCGUUCAUAUUUUCGUUACAGAAGUAACUUAUUUUACCUCUUGUUUUUCAUACUAUUGUGUUGUUUGUCGCUUGUUCUUCCGAUUUAUGUGACGUUUUAUACCGACGGGACAUGCACUGAGAACACCAUUGCUCAUUUUUAUACGUUCAGACCAAAUGUGUCGCAGUUUAACAAGAAACAUCUACUAAGACCUCCCAUAGCUUAAUAUUAAGAAGACACAAACAACAGAUUCAAAAUGCACUACGUAUUUCAGUAGAUGAAGACAAAUGAAAAUCUUGAGCAAAAUGGAAUAUAGAAGUGUGUUCACACGUAACUACUUUGAUUUGUCAAUAAGUUGUGUAAAUAAACGGUAACAAUAUGCUUUGUCCGAGGUUAAUGUGUGGAAUAAGAUAUAAGAUAUCUACUAAUUGCUUGCUUUAAGAGGCUGGGUAACAUGAGCACCUCUUUAUUUUCUCAAGGAGACAAACGUUGAAUUUGACAUUACCAAACCAUCAAGCAAACAUGUGGGAGGAAACAAACAUGUAAUGUAGUGAACCAAGCAUAAGUAAGCUGAAGUGAUUAUAAACCAGCAUAAUUAAUAAUGUAUGCCGCGCCAUGGGAAUCCCAUUGUUGUAUUGACUGACCAGCAAGGUCAUCAAAUAAUUACCUACAGAUAAAUGAUAAUUGAUAAGCUUGUAUAAACACAAUGAUAGUCCCUUGUCAAUAUUUUUUACCAUUGUUCAUACAAUACAGUAAAUAGUUAUUUGUAUAGUGGUUUCUUAGGUUUAUGCGAAUGUUAGACAUUGAAAUGAAACUA